AGAUGCAGGUGGUGACUGAGAAACCAACAUACAAACUUUGAAAAAUACAAGGGGGGCACAAAGGUAUGGGCCCAGAGACUGCAGACAACAGGUCAGAAAACCACAGCAUUCUAAGAUUCUCUCUGACUGAAGGUGGGGAUAAAACAGAUUUUCAAGAAGAAAAUGAAGCAUACAGUUUGAAAAAUACAGAUCAAAUAACAUACUUUUUCACCUUUGGAAAACAACUUCAUGUUUUCACAAUACAAACUAUUGAAAGUAAGUAGAGUUCAAUAAACAUCUCUUGAUUGUUGGAGAAUGGUCAGAAGAAAUAUCUUCUGUAUAUUUGUGCUUCCUAGAAAGAG
rnacentral:lncRNA from 1 species